ACUUGCGAACCAGUAGCUCUGUGAGGAAAGAUGACUCUUGGACUCUUGGACAAUUUGGAAGGGGAAGCACCUGACGCAGGAACCAGAGAACCAGCUUGUUUCUGAUUGAGGCUGCGCUAAGAGCCCAGCCUGCUGGCCUGCGCAGUUUCCCCCUAAUGGUCCUGGGGUUCACAAUACACCAAGAAGCAAACGAACUGGGGGGACAGAAACCGCCAUAAAGGUGUGGAUUAGACCUGGGUCUGAAUCCCGCUACUUCGGCCAACAGCGCUACAGACCGGAUUUAAAUACUUCAUUGUUGUAAUAUUACAUAAUUUGCUUCUCUCUCUCCUUCCAAAAAUGGAAUAUACUGGGCCAUUUUCCCUGAGUCAUUGAGUCAGGGAAAGUUUACCGCUAGCUCGACUUCCUUCCUCAUGACUAAUGUUUUCUUAAGAAAGUUUUUCACAGCUGGAUAGAUGACUCAGCAGUCAGGGGUGCUUGUUCCACAAGCCUGAGUUUGACCCCCAGAGCCCCCUUAAAAGUGGAAGAGUAUGACCUCUGACGCAUUCUACAGGGGUGGGGAGCAAUAUACAUUUAUAAGAUUCCAGGUGGAAAGCACACAUUAUUCCUGCUACAGAUUUUCAACAAAAAAAGUACUACAACAACAACAUUCAAAUUGAAGAUUUCCAAGAGAAGGGUGUGAAACCUUAUUUUGACAAAUAGGAGGGCCAGUAUUGUGACUGUGUGUGACAACUGAGCCCAAAUAUCCCAGAAAGGAGGUAUUACAAAGAGGCACGAAGUUAAACAACCAAACAAAGUGAGCAGCCCAGGUAAAUACAAAUAAACUUCAGUGGGAUUUAUAUGACAAAGUAGAACACCAGAAUUGGCCUGGCUGCCAAGAGAAUUGGGUGAGAUGGGACAACUCUGCCAAUGAACAAUGGCCUAGUCUGGAAUACAACAAGACCCAAUUUCCUUCUUCCCUUUCUUUCAUGCUGUUUCUUUAAAAAAUAAAAAUAAAUAAAUAAAUAAAAUGAAAGCAGUGACAUUCAAC
rnacentral:lncRNA from 1 species